UACAGAGGUCUCAAGCGUUGUUCGGAUUCAUUGGGCGUAAAGGGUGUGUCGGUGGCGCGCUACGUCGGGGGUGAAAUUUCGGAGCUUAACUCCGAAACUGCAUUCGAUACUGGCGUGCUUGAGGACUGGAGAGGAGACUGGAAUUCAUGGUGUAGCAGUGAAAUGCGUAGAGAUCAUGAGGAAGACCAGUGGCGAAGGCGGGUCUCUGGACAGUUCCUGACACUGAGACACGAAGGCCAGGGGAGCAAACGGG
rnacentral:rRNA from 1 species